GACGAACGCUGGCGGCGUGCUUAACACAUGCCAGUCGAACGGAAAGGCCCUGCUUUUGUGGGGUGCUCGAGUGGCGAACGGGUGAGUAACACGUGAGUAACCUGCCCUUGACUUUGGGAUAACUUCAGGAAACUGGGGCUAAUACCGGAUAGGAGCUCCUGCUGCAUGGUGGGGGUGGGAAAUUUUCGGCGGUUGGGGAUGGACUCGCGGCUUAUCAGCUGGUUGGUGGGGUAGUGGCUUACCAAGGCUUUGACGGGUAGCCGGCCUGAGAGGGUGACCGGCCACAUUGGGACUGAGAUACGGCCCAGACUGCUACGGGAGGCAGCAGUGGGGAAUAGUGCACAAUGGGCGGAAGCCUGAUGCAGCAACGCCGCGUGCGGGAUGACGGCCUUCGGGUUGUAAACCGCUUUCGCCUGUGACGAAGCGUGAGUGACGGUAAUGGGUAAAGAAGCACCGGCUAACUACGUG
rnacentral:rRNA from 1 species